AGACCCGAAACCCGGUGAUCUAGCCAUGGGCAGGUUGAAGGUUGGGUAACACUAACUGGAGGACCGAACCGACUAAUGUUGAAAAAUUAGCGGAUGACCUGUGGCUGGGGGUGAAAGGCCAAUCAAACCGGGAGAUAGCUGGUUCUCCCCGAAAGCUAUUUAGGUAGCGCCUCGUGAAUUCAUCUCCGGGGGUAGAGCACUGUUUCGGCCAGGGGGCCAUCCCGGCUUACCAACCCGAUGCAAACUGCGAAUACCGGAGAAUGUUAUCACGGGAGACACACGGCGGGUGCUAACGUCCGUCGUGAAGAGGGAAACAACCCAGACCGCCAGCUAAGGUCCCAAAGUCAUGGUUAAGUGGGAAACGAUGUGGGAAGGCCCAGACAGCCAGGAUGUUGGCUUAGAAGCAGCCAUCAUUUAAAGAAAGCGUAAUAGCUCACUGGUCGAGUCGGCCUGCGCGGAAGAUGUAACGGGGCUAAACCAUGCACCGAAGCUGCGGCAGCGAACGUAUCACUUAAAGCGAUUCAGCGGAUGACGAUUGACGGAGCGAAGCGACGUCAAAGCGUUUUACAACGUCGAGUCGGUUUAAGGAUACGUUCGUUGGGUAGGGGAGCGUUCUGUAAGCCUGCGAAGGUGUGUCGUGAGGCAUGCUGGAGGUAUCAGAAGUGCGAAUGCUGACAUAAGUAACGAUAAUGCGGGUGAAAAACCCGCACGCCGGAAGACCAAGGGUUCCUGUCCAACGUUAAUCGGGGCAGGGUGAGUCGACCCCUAAGGCGAGGCCGAAAGGCGUAGUCGAUGGGAAACAGGUUAAUAUUCCUGUACCUGG
rnacentral:rRNA from 1 species